GAUGAACGCUAGCUACAGGCUUAACACAUGCAAGUCGAGGGAGCGGCGCACGGGUGAAUAACACGUAUCCAACCUGGCCUUUACUGGGGGAUAGCCUUUAGAAAGAAAGAUUAAUACCCGAUAUAGAGGAUGGGGAUGCGUUCCAUUAGGUGGUUGGUGAGGUAACGGCUCACCAAGACUUCGAUGGAUAGGAGUUAUGAGAGGAAGGUUCCCCACUUUUGAACUGAGACCCGGUCCAACCUCCUACGGGAGGCAGCAGUGAGGAAUAUUGGUCAAUGGGCGCUAGCCUGAACCAGCCAAGUAGCGUGAAGGAUGAAGGCUUAUUGGUCGUAAACUUCUUUUAUAUAAGAAUCUGUAUUAUAUGAAUAAGGAUCGGCUAACUCCGUGACAGCAGCCGCGGUAAUAC
rnacentral:rRNA from 1 species